rnacentral:rRNA from 1 species
UACGAAGGGGGCUAGCGUUGUUCGGAAUUACUGGGCGUAAAGCGCGCGUAGGCGGUGAUCUUUGUCAGAGGUGAAAGCCUGGGGCUCAACUCCAGAAUUGCCUUUGAAACGGGAUCGCUUGAGUCCGAGAGAGGAUGGCGGAAUUCCUAGUGUAGAGGUGAAAUUCGUAGAUAUUAGGAAGAACACCGGUGGCGAAGGCGGCCAUCUGGCUCGGUACUGACGCUCAGGCGCGAAAGCCAGGGGAGCAAACGGG